UACGUAGGGGGCGAGCGUUGUCCGGAUUUAUUGGGCGUAAAGAGCUCGUAGGCGGUUUGGUAAGUCGGGUGUGAAAUCUCCACGCUCAACGUGGAGGGGCCACUCGAUACUGCCAUGACUCGAGUCCGGUAGAGGAGUGUGGAAUUCCCGGUGUAGCGGUGAAAUGCGUAGAUAUCGGGAGGAACAUCAGUGGCGAAGGCGGCUGCCUGGCCCAAUACUGACACUCAGGUGCGACAGCGUGGGGAGCAAACAGG
rnacentral:rRNA from 1 species